rnacentral:lncRNA from 1 species
GGAUGCACAGCUCCUCCUGCCCAGGGUUUCAAAGCUGAUUCCAGGUAAUAUACUUAUAAAAGGAUCCGAAUUCCUAAAUUCUCCACUUUGGGUUUUUAAAGGCUAGGAUCUUCAAUGGGAAUUGGGACUUUUGUCUUAUUUUAUUUAUUUUAUUUUUUUUCUUUUUCUACUUAGAUACCUAACUUCUCCAAACCACAGGACCGGUCUAUGUUAUUGUCCUGGUCACCCUCUGACUCUCUCAUGUUGCAGCUACUGGAAUUCUGGGGGUGAGCGUUGCAGCUGCUGAUCAGGCCCAUUCCCAGAUUCUCCGGGAAGGGAGCAAAGCGGAAGGCGGCACGCUCCUUUAUCUUCCACAGGCUGAAUGCCAAAAUCCUUCACGCUACCAGUUUCUGCGAACUCCAGGUAGAAGUAGCCACACUUGACUGCCCGAUGCACCUCAAAGCAGAAGCCCAAACAAGAAUCCUCUAUUAGGUCUACGUAUAUCUCCUGAGCGAUGGCCUCUAGCUUGUUA